rnacentral:rRNA from 1 species
AACGAACGCUGGCGGCAUGCCUAACACAUGCAAGUCGAACGAUCCCUUCGGGGAUAGUGGCGCACGGGUGCGUAACGCGUGGGAACCUGCCCUUAGGUUCGGAAUAACUCAGAGAAAUUUGAGCUAAUACCGGAUAAUGUCUUCGGACCAAAGAUUUAUCGCCUUUGGAUGGGCCCGCGUUGGAUUAGCUAGUUGGUGGGGUAAAGGCCUACCAAGGCGACGAUCCAUAGCUGGUCUGAGAGGAUGAUCAGCCACACUGGGACUGAGACACGGCCCAGACUCCUACGGGAGGCAGCAGUGGGGAAUAUUGGACAAUGGGCGAGAGACUGAUCCAGCAAUGCAGCGUGAGUGAUGAAGGACUUAGGGUUGUAAAGCUCUUUUACCCGGGAUGAUAAUGACAGUACCGGGAGAAUAAGCCCCGGCUAACUCCGUG